GUGCCAGCAGCCGCGGUAAAACGUAGGUCCCGAGCGUUGUUCGGAUUCACUGGGUGUAAAGGGCGCGUAGGUGGUUGUCUGUGUCUCAUGUGAAAACUCAGGGCUCAACUCUGAGAUUGCGUGGGAAACUAGGCAGCUAGAGGACGGUAGAGGGGAGUGGAAUUCCCGGUGUAGCGGUAAAAUGCGUAGAUACCGGGAGGACCACCUGUGGCGAAGGCGUCCAGCUGGAACGGACCUGACGCUGAGGCGCGAAAGCUAGGGGAGCGAACCGGAUUAGAUACCCGGGUAGUCCUAGCCGUAAACGAUGGGUGCUAGGUGUUGGGGGGUAAAGACCCUUCAGUGCCGAAGCUAACGCGAUAAGCAUCCCACCUGGGGAGUACGGCCGCAAGGUUGAAACUUAAAGGAAUUGGCGG
rnacentral:rRNA from 1 species